GUGCUCACUUCAGCAGCACAUAAACUAAAACUGGAACAAUACAGAAAAAAAUUAGCAUGGUCCCUGCACAAGGCUAACCUACAUUUUUUCUAAAGGGAAUCAGAGAAAUUU